UUCAAAGACCCAAGCCAGUCACAGUGUCUCCGUUUUUUUUCCUGCUGCCUUCGGAUUUGGUUGUUAGAACUCUCAACUUCUCCAGCACCGAGUCUGCCUGCCUACUGCCGAGAUCUCCGCUAUGACAGGAGUGGACUGAACCUCUGAAACUAGGACAUUGGAAACCUCUUCAGCUUUUCCACAUGGACCUCAAACCAGUGACUUCCCAGGGAGAUUUCAGGCCUCCAGGGUUGGACCAGAACUGUAGAAGCUUUCAGCUUCGCACACCGCGAAGCUACUGUGUUCUCUGCCUCUCUAGCACACGGAUGACCAUCAUGAAGGUGUGCUGCAUCGUCGGGGACAUCAAUAGGAAGAUUCAAAAGGACGAAGCUUGCUCACCUGGACUCCAUAAAGUUUGAGGCAGGGUCUUUGCACGGCGCCGGCAGUAGUUCCCAACGACCUGUCAUCUGAUCGUCCGCUGCAACAUUCGCCACACUCGGGCCUGGGUUUGCCAUGCUAGAGCCUGACAGAGCCCCUUCAGUUGUUCAACUGGCUCUUCUAUGGGGGCACAGCUCAGUGGCAGUGCGUGUGCCCUCCACACACAGAACGCUCAGUGUGAACCCCACCACUGCAAAUAUCUCUUUAAGAUCUUGCUUUUGAUGCUGUACACAUCCUUAGACGUGAGAUUGUCGAAUUGUAUGAUAGUUAAAAUUUUGCUUUGAGGGGUUGGGGAUUUGGCUCAGUGGUAGAGCGCUUGCCUAGCAAGCGCAAGGCCC
rnacentral:lncRNA from 1 species